GCCUGGGUGGCUCAGUUGGUUGAGCAUCUGACUUCAGCUCAGAUCAUGAUCCUGCAGUUUGUGAGUUCAAGCCCCACAUCAGUGCA
rnacentral:tRNA from 1 species